GCGAGCGAAAAGAAAACAGAUCAGCACUAAGUCACUUUAUCUUUAUGGUAAAUGUGAGAUGCAGUGUAUGGAACAUCUAUAAUCUAGUAUGAGAAAUUAAUGAUUUAAGUCCUUCUUAAAUGAGGCCAUUUACCCAAAGAGGGUGCCAGGCCCGUGUAACAUUAAUGAUUAUUAGAAGAUGUUUCCAAAGAGUCGUGUUGCUUGAUAGUGCAGCACUAAGUGGGUGGUAAACUCCAUCUAAAACUAAAUAUAACCAUGAGACCGAUAGUAAACAAGUACCGUGAGGGAAAGUUGAAAAGAACUCUGAAUAGAGAGUUAAAUAGUACGUGAAACUGCUUAGAGGUUAAGCCCAAUGAACCUGAAUAUCCGUUAUGAAAAAUACAACAUUAUAUAUCUUUAAUAUUAAUUAUAUAUUAUUGAAAUAGUGUGCAUUUUUUUCAUAUAAGGACAUUGUAAUCUAUUAACAUAUUUAAUAUAUAUUUAUCAAAAAAUCAUUUGGCAUAUGUUUAUUUAAAUUAUUUUGUAUUUAUACAAUUUAACAUAAGAUAAAUGCCUAUGAUUUGAUAAAGUGUUGAUAGAUUUAUUUAUAUAUAGUACUUAAAUUCAUUAAGAAUUUUGUAAUAAUAUAAUUUUCUUAUGAUUAUUGUAUUUAUUACAUGUGCCAAUAUGAUUAACAAUGCGAUAGAUUCAGGAUACCUUUGGGACCCGUCUUGAAACACGGACC
rnacentral:rRNA from 1 species